rnacentral:tmRNA from 1 species
GGGGAUGACAGGCUUCGACGGAUGAGGCUGGCAUCAGAUUGCAAGCCGAGAGACUCCGAACUCGAUAAAUCAGAGCACAAGCUUAAGUGCCAACCGCACCCAUGCUUACGCGGCUCUUCCGCUCGCCGCCUAAUCCCGGCGAACGACUAGCCUGACCCUGUGAACCAGGGUCCACUUGCCCCGAGCGACUCCGACCGCGCGGCCAGCAGGUGACACAAAAGCCGGAGUGCCACCGGGCCAUGCCCCUAACUCGGUGAAAGCGGGACUCUCGGGUCUCAGGAGCACGGCGCUCUGAUAUCCCUGUCGGCACGGGGAUCAGACGCUAAGGACAAAUAGGCCGACUAAGCUUGUAGACAUCUGUUGUCGAUUCAUUCGGACGCGGGUUCGAGUCCCGCCAUCUCCACCA